UCUUAACUUGUUACAAAAACA
rnacentral:piRNA from 1 species